AGUGAACGCUGGCGGCGUGCUUAACACAUGCAAGUCGAACGAGAACGGAUUAUAGCUUGCUAUAAUUGUCAGCUAAGUGGCGCACGGGUGAGUAAUAUAUAGGUAACGUGCCCUAGAGAAGAGGAUAACAGUUGGAAACGAUUGCUAAGACUCUAUAUGCCUUUAAGACUUAAGUCUGCAAGGGAAAUAUUUAUAGCUCUAGGAUCGGCCUGUACAGUAUCAGUUAGUUGGUGAGGUAAUGGCUCACCAAGACAAUGACGCUUAACUGGUUUGAGAGGAUGAUCAGUCACACUGGAACUGAGACACGGUCCAGACUCCUACGGGAGGCAGCAGUGGGGAAUAUUGCACAAUGGACGAAAGUCUGAUGCAGCAACGCCGCGUGGGUGACGAAGGCCUCGGUUGUAAGCCUUUCUCGGGUAGA
rnacentral:rRNA from 1 species